rnacentral:lncRNA from 10 species
AUGAAGUCUCGUUCAGUCACCUAGGCUGGAGUGCAGUGGCAUGAUCUCAGCUCCCUGCAACCUCUGCCUCCCGGGUUCAAGUGAUUCCCCUGCCUCGGCCUCCUGAGUGCCUGGGACUACAGCUGGCUGGAUUGUGGAUAUGAUGAGUAGUGCUUAAGCAGCCAUCUUGGGACCAUAAGGAAAAGCCACACAAUUAGGAAAGUGAAGCAGCCAUCGGGACAGACUUGAGGUCCCUGAUGAUCAUGGGGCUGCCAUAUCAGCGAGGACUGCCCACCUCUGGACCUCACGUCUAUUUCAUGGAAGCCAUUGUUAGCUAGUGUUUUCUAUCACAUACAGCCAACUCGAAUCCUAAUUGAUACACUGUCCCUGACUUCAAAGAGUUGAUAAAUUAGCAUGCGAAGAAAUACACAAGAUAAACAGCAUCAAAACAAUUAAAUUAAAAACCCUAGAAUUCAGCUGGGACAAACGUGGUGACUGGUAUAAGAUCAAGGCAGGUAGCUGGACAGCAGAGGGAAGAACUGCCUCUCUCAAGGCAAAAUGCGGACGUCAGAAAGGACAUCAGAGAAGAAGUGAUAUGCAAGCCAGGCUUUGAAGGAUGGGUGGAAUUUCUCCAGCAGGAAGAAAGAGAAUCUGGAAGUUUGACUGUUGCAUCUCCCUUGGCCUGACAUUGCUGACUGCACACUCGAGGUUCUGUUCAACACACUGCUCUGUCCUGUGAUCGUCCUGUGAAUUGCCAGCUGAAUCCAGAGACUGGCUCAGGCUCAGGAUUGAUCCCUUUGGUCAGACUGCAGGAGGACACCUAGAUGGCACCAUUUAUGAGGAAGGAACCCUCCCUACACACUUAACCUGCUGGCACCUUGAUCUUGGACUUUCUAGGCUUCAGAGGAAAUGAGUUUCUGUACUUUAUAAAUUAUCCAGUCUCGGGUAUUUUAUUAAAGCUUACAAACAGACUUGUAUUAUCUCCUUUAUCUUGCAAACCUCUAUAGCCAUGUCCAUUUUAUUGAGGCUCAGAGAUGCUAAGGAGCCCAAGGUCACACAGCUAGUAAGGAACAGGUCCAGGCAUUCAUUCAUUAAUGAAUUCAUUAAUUCGUUCAAUCAACCAAUCUUUACUUAUUUAUUAAAGGCCUAUAAUGUGCUAGUCAAAGUCUAGAUGUUGGGAAAAUAACAGUAAUCAAGUCAAAGUGCUCGUCCACAAGGAGCUACCAUUCUAGCGGAAGAAACAUAUCCUAAAGAAAAAUACAAGUCAAUAAAUACUGUGUCAGGUGGUGAUAAAUGCUAUGGGGAAGAAAGAGGGUUAGUGAUGGCUGAAGUGGGUCUGCUGUUUAUAUAGGGUGGUCAAGGUGAUCUGGCAACAUUUGAGCGGAGAUCUAAAGGAAAUGAGUCAUGCAGAGAUCUGCAGGAAAAAACAUCACAGGAGGUGGGAACAGCCUAUGCAAAGGCCCUGGGGUGGGCACAUCUAUGGUAUGUUGGAGAGGCAGCGAGGAGUUUAGUGUGGCUGGAGCUGAGUGAGUGAGGGGAGAUAAACUUAGGUGACAGGGGUUAGAUCACGGAGGGCCUCGUGGUCAUGGCAGGAACUUCGGUUUUGACUUUGAUGAAACAGGGAGCCACUAAAGGACAACUCCCAGAACCCAUGUCCUUAAUUGCUAUGCUAUACUACUGAUGGAUUACGUGAAUGAAUGCCGAAAGGUACUUGUGGACUUUUUCUCAUUAAAACCAGCAGGAUGGUGGCCCAGAGAGUCUAGAAACAACGCAUGGAAGGGCAAGAUGUGAGUUAACAAGGAGGGCUAAUUAGGAAGGGGGAAAAGUGCCCAUUGCCUUGGUUGCCGGGAGUCUCUGAGGCUCCCACAGCACAGGACUGUGUAGGGCCCCGUGAUAGCCCCAGUGGGUCCUCUACCUGGAUUUGCAGAGUAGAUUUUCCAGGCCUGCCCCAGAUGGGUCUCAGCCCUUCCAUGAAAUAUGUCCUUUGCUAACAAGAGGCAGUGAGAAAAAGCCAACGUCUGCAAUGACUCACCAGAGAGAAAUGAAAAUUGUGCCCAGACUGGAAAAGAACCCAUCUGAAAGUGACACAUUUGCCUCCAAAAUAUAUAUACAUAUAUAUAAAGCUUUUUCUUUUCUUUUUCCUUCUCAUUUGAAGGAAGGCAGAGCCUUCUCACAUACACUGCCUCACAGCAGGAAAAUCUACUCUGCAAACUUCUGAAAUUCCUGUCCUUAUUCCUGUCGCAAUUCUAUGAGGCAAAAGGAUAUCAUAUCUGGGGAGGUGGCCAUUUCACGGCAGGACAGCAAGCGUGUGCCCUGGCAUUCCCAGGACAAUCCCAAUAGCAAAUAUUCUUCUGAUUGGCUGCCCCCCUCCCCCAGCCCCACUGCCAACUAACCAGCUAUUCUGACUUGGGAGUGCGUACGUUAAAAUGCAGAUUCUGGGAACUCUGAUUCAGGAGGUCUGGGAGGAAGCCCGGACACUGCACUUCAAAUAGAGAACCUCCAAUGAUUCUGAUACAGCCUGUCUAAGAAACGCUUCUCCAAACCACAGGAAUAGUCCCAGUAGCCCUAGCCUUCUGCAUCUAUGCUUAAAGGAUGAAGUGACUCCAAUCCUUUCUCAGACCACAGGGAGGCACAUUUUAGCUCCUGGCAGAGGUCAGAAUGCUCCUGGCCAAAUCAGAGUGGUGGAGAAUCUUGAAAUCCCAGUCCUUGCCCCUGUCCAUUCCAACUCUCUUCAUUUAUCUUCCUGACUUGAGCUUCUGGACUCUGCCGAGCAUUUGCUCUCUGGGUCAUAGCCAGGAAGGCCCCGGUGCUGAGGCAUGGAGCUGCCCUGGGUCUUGGAUACAAGCCACAGCUGGAGAGGGGGUCAGACCUUGCCUAAGCCUCUGAUCAUGAAGUAUAACAGAAAUGCCUAAUUGUGAUUAUGAAACACUGUUUCACGUCUUAAUUUGUUGAAGUUACAUGUUGACAGUAGGUACUGCCUUAGCAGGUGGAAACAAAAGGGUCCUACAUCUAUUAUUACUGUAAUUUACUGGAAUAAGGAGCCACCAGAUGCAGCCCUGGCUCACACCCCUUCCUCAUGAAUUACAAAGCUGGUCUGAGGGCCCUGUCAGUUGCUGGCUUUGGGCACCAACAUUGCUAAUUAAAAUCUUCCUGUGGUGCACUCCACUUUGUUGAGAUCUCUGCUCAGAUGCCAUCUUCCUUACCCACUGGUCUAAAUGACUCUCUUCCCCAGUGCCCUUCUCUUGUUAUUUCUAACCUCUUAGCCUACUUUAUUUUCCUUCAGAGCAUCCACCACUACUUGAAUUACAAAUUGAUUUAUUUGCUUGCUACUUUAUCAUCUGCCUUAAUCCAUCUAGAAGGUAAGUUCUUUAAGAGCUAUGACGUUGUCAUGUUCAACACUGUAUUUUGAUGCCUUGCACAUAACAGGCACUCAACUGAUAGUUGCUGAAUGAAUCAAUCAAUGAUAAAUGAAUGAAUGUUACAAUGUUCUGAGGGCCCUGGAGUCAUGUCUAACUGCAUGAUGCUCUACUUAUUGGAUCCAGUGGUCUUUGCGGACUAAGCAGAUACACAAAAAAUAACAACAGCUGCUUUUUUUUUUUUUUUCUUUUGAGACAGGAUCUUGCUCUGUUGCAUAGGCUGGAGUGCAGUGGCACAAUCUUGGUUCACUGCAACCUCUGCCUCCCGAGCUCAAGCAAUCCUCCCACCUUGGCCUCCCCGGUAGCUGGGACUGUGAAUGCGCACCACCACACCUGACUAAUUUUUGUAUUUUUUGGUAGAGAUGGGGUUUCACCGCAUUGCCCAGGCUGGCCUCAAACACCUGGGCUCAAAUGAUCCGCCUGCCUUGGGCUCCCAGAGUGCUGGGAUUACGGGUGUGAGCCUCCGCACCCAGCCAAUAGCUGUUUUAUUUAGUGCUUACUAUGUACUGGGUGUACACACCAUCUCAUUUUAUCCUCAGAGUAGUUUUGCAAGGUCGGGAUUAUUAACCCCAUUUAUUUAUUUAUUUUUUUGAGACAGGGUCUCGUUUUGUCACCCAGGCUGGAUACACUGGCACGUUCAAUAGUUCACGGCAGCCUCGACCUCCCGGGCUCAAGCAACUCUCCCAUCUCAGCAUCCCGAGUAGCUGAGACCACAGGUACUCACCACCAUGCCCAGCUAAUUUUUGUAUCUUUUUUGGUAGAGACAGGGUUUCACCAUGUUGCCCAGGUUGCUCUGAACUCCUGGGCUCAAGUGAUCUGCCUGCCUCAGCCUGCCAAAGUGCUGGGAUUACAGGCAUGAGCCACUGCAUGUGGCCCUAUUAACUCCACAUAAGAGAUAUAAAAACCAAUGACAAAGUCACCCAGCCAGUAAGGGAAGAGGCGGAAUUCAAACUUAAGUCAUUUAAUGCCAAGGUCUUCACUGUGUCUCACGACAACUGCAUUUGAUGCGAUCUAACUUGUGUUGACACUGGGAUAGGAUCCAGAGACAAGCAAGACAAGGUCCCUAAUGCCAGAAGUUCAGGGUCUAUCUCGGCAGCACAGCAGAAUAAGGAUGAGCAAGCAAUUAGAAUUCACCUCCACAUCCGAGCCUCAUCCUGUACUAGCUGAGCCUCAGCUCCCUCCUCUGUAAAAUAGAGUACUAAUUCACCAAAAUAAUGGAGCCAUAAGUCAUCAGUCCUCUGCUAUGUGAGGACACAGCAAGAAGGCAGCCACCUGCAAGCGAGAAGAGGCCCUACACCAGAGCCUGGCCAUGGUGGCACCCUGAUCUCAGACUUCCAGCCACCAGACCUGUGAGAAAUCAAUGUUUGCUGUUAAGGCUGCCUAGUCCAUGACAUUUUGUUAUAUAUAGCAGCCUGAACUAAAACAGUAGUGAUUCUGGAAGUCAGGUCUACUAGCCAAACACUGUGAACCACCGAUACAUUUAAUUCCAUUACACAGAUCCAAAGUAGUUUUAUUAUCAAACUAAAGGUACAAAGAAAAGAGUCAAGAAUCUCUAGGCAAUUAAAAAUUAGCAUCACAAUCUAGGUGCGGUGGCUCAUGCCCAUAAUCCCAGUAUUUAGGAUUCCCAGUACUGGGGAGGCUGAGGCGGGAGGAUCACUUGAGGCCAGGAGUUCAAGAUCAGCCUGGGCAAUAGAGCAAGAACCUACCUCUACAAAAAAUAUAAAAACUAGUCAGGCAUCGUGGCAUAAGCCUGUAGUCCCCACUACUUGGGAGGCUAAGGUGGGAGGAUUGCUUGAGCCCAGUUAUUUGAGACUGCAGUGAGCUAUAAUCAUACUACUGCACUCCAGCCUGGACAGCAGAGCAAGACUCUUAAAAAAAUUACCAUCACAAAUCAAUUAUGUUCAAAUCUCUCUGUUAAUAAGUAUUUCUUGAUUGGGCUGUUUAGAUUUUAGCAUCUACGUGGGCAAUACAAGGCAGUUGAGGGUGAAGGAAACUGGCAUCUCAUGGCUGGGGUGAUGCAAAUUAUUACUCUCUGUGGGCAGUUUUGUAGCUUUUACUCAAAAUCUUUAAAAUGUACAUAUUCUUUGGCUCUGCAGUUCUACUUCUGAGAAUCUUUCAUCCCACAGGGUACAAAAAGAUGUUCACCAUAGUGUUAUUUUUAUUACUGGAAAGUGGGACACAAUAUAAACAGCAGUCAUUACGGGACUGGUCCCAUGUUAGCACACAAGAACACCGGGAUGGUAUACAGCGAUUAAUAAUCAUGUGGCUUUCUCUGCUGACAUGGGAAAGUGUCCAUAAUAGUUUGUCAAAUUAAGAAGAUGACAAAACGGUACAUAAUCAUAUUUCUGUAACAUCGUAUGUAUGGGUGUGUAUGCUUGCAGAAAAGUCUACAAAAAUAUUCCCUGGAUUGUUCACAGUGGCUUUAUCUUGGUAGAAGGAUUUCAAGUGAUAUUUUUUCAAACUUUUGAUUUAACAGAUAGUAUUGUGUUAGGAAGCUAAGCAAAAAAACCCUCAAAAAACAAAAAACUAGAGUGGCCAGGAGUGGUGGCUCAUGCCUGUAAUUCCAGCACUUUGGGAGGCCAAGGCGGGUAGAUCGCUUGAGCUCAGAAGUUGGAGACCAGCCUGGCCAACAUGGCGAAACUGUCUCUACAAAAAAAUACAAAAAUUAGCUGGGCGCAGUGGUACAUGUCUGGAAUUUCAGCUACUUGGGAGGCUGAGUCAUGAGAAUCACUUGAACCUGGGAGGCAGAGGUCACAGUGAGCCAAGAUUGCACCACUGCACUCCAGCCUGGGUGACAGAGUGAGAGCCUGUCUCAAAAAAAAAAAAAAAAAGAAAAAACUGGAGUCAAUCUAAAAUUGCUUUAAAGAAAAGUGUUGAGGAAAUAAUAGAACAGGCAGGAAAGAGAUGUGAGAAAAUGGCAAAGGGGAGUGUGAAAGUUUGGCAAACACAGUUUUAAAUUCUUCAUCCUGCUCUUGCGUGGAAAGACUGUCUGCUCUUGCUUCUAAGUGAUAAACAUCUUAGUGGGAAAACCUCUUCCUUUUAUUUACCCAUUGACCCAGUUUUGGUGGUCAAUGACGCCCGCCCUUCCUGACAGAUGUUGGGGCAUGGGCCAGACAGGCCCGCUGGGUACACAAGGAUGCCCGCUCUUCUCCCUUGAUCCUGCAGUGGCUCCCUAGGGCCUCCAAGUAGGGGGAGUAGUUCUGUUGAUGGAGGGGUCACUAUGUACAAAGACUGAGCUGAAAUUUCUUGCACACCUUCUCAGAAUCACCCUAGGAGGGAAGCUUUUUGAAUGACCCCAUUUUAUUGAAAAAGAAACUAAGGCUCACAGAGGUCAAGGGUCUUGUCCAAGAUCACACAGCAAGUAAGCGAAGGACCUCACGCUCCAGUUCAGGUCGGCCUCUUUCUUUUGUUUUUUUGAGACAGAGUCUCGCUCUGUCGCCCAGGCUGGAGUGCAGUGGCAUGAUCUCGGCUCACUGCAAGCUCCGCCUCCCAGGUUCACGCCAUUCUCCUGCCUCAGCCUCCUGAGCAGCUAGGACUACAGGCGCCGCCACCACACCCGGCUAAUUUUUUGUAUUUUUUUUUUAAGUAGAGACGGGGUUUCACCGUGUUAGCCAGGAUCGUCUGGAUCUCCUGACCUCGUGAUCCACCCGCCUUGGCCUCCCAAAGUGCUAGGAUUACAGGCGUGGGACACCGUGCCCAGCCCAGGUCCUUGUGCCCUUCGAGGGUGCAGACGGUGGUCUCUGCAUCUCCUUUGCUCCACGUGCCAGGCACAGGUGCCUGGGAACUACAGAAGAGGUUGAAUAGAAGGCUUAACAAUGAGUUUGGAAGUCAGGCACAGAGGGUUUGACUUCCGGGGGCACCCCUUGCCAGCUGUAUGACCCUGGCAAGUCACUCUUCCUUUCUGCGCCUUGGUCCCUGCAUCUAUAAAUUGCUGUAAGGAUGAAAUUACAUAAUUAUAGGUAAAGCACCUGGCACAGUGAACAGUCCACAAAUCUUAGCUAUAAUAACAAUGACGUCAGUUAAGUAACUCACUUAGAAACAACACUGGCCACUGAAGUGGAGGGCCAGUGAAGUGGAGUCAAGUGCUGGGAGGAAGUCCAGGCCAGCAGGCCAACUUUGGUAUACAAAGAUGUGAAAACACGCUUGGCGUGGUGGCUCACGCCUGUAAUCCCAGCACUUCGGAAGGCCGAAGCAGGCAGAUCACCUGAGGUCAGGAGUUCCAGACCAGCCUGGCCAAGAUGGCGAAACUCUGUCUCUACUAAAAAUAUAAAAAUUAGCCAGGCGUGUUGGCGUGUGCCUGUAGUCCCGGCUACUCCUCGGGAGGCUGAGGCAGGAGAAUCACUUGAACCUGGGAGGCAGAAGUUGCAGUGGGCCGAGAUUGCACCAUUGCACUCCAGCCUGGGUGACAGAGCAAGACCCUGUCUCAAAACAAAAAAACAAAGAUGUGAAAACAGCCAACCACCAGGUGGCAAUCCAUGCAAGAGCCCAGCUGCCGGGUGUGCCCCAGCUUCAAGCCAGACAGACCUCAGACAUCCAGGGCCUGGGGAAGGUCCAGCCCCAAAUGGCAGCCAUCUGAUAGCAGCAAAAGAAAACCUGUGGGCCAGGCGCGGUGGCUCACGCCUGUAAUCUCAGCACUUUGGGAGGCCGCGGCGGGCGGAUCACGAGGUCAGGAGUUCAAGACCAGCUUGGCCAAUAUGGUGAAACCCCAUCUCUACUAAAAAUACAAAAAUUAACUGGGUGUGGUGGCGCAUGCCUGUAGUCCCAGCUACUCAAGAGGCUGAGGCAGAAGAAUCACUUGAAUCUGGGAGGCGGAGGUUACAGUGAGCCGAGAUAGUGCCGCUGCACUCCAGCCUGGGCAACAGAACGAGACUGUCUCAAAAAAAAAAAAAAAGAAAACCUGUGAACCUGGGGGCUGGGGAACAGAGCUCUUGCCCAUGCGAAACAUGGGGUGCUGGGAGAGCUCAUGAAAAUGUACAUCAUUCAUGUGCCAUGCGCUUGCUGAGUACUUCCCAUGCAUAAUUCAAUUUCAGCCUCAUGGCAGCCUUUCUCAGUUGAUGUUGUUAUCCCAGUUCAGAGAGGAGUAAACUGAGGCCCAGAGAAGUUAAAAAACUUGCCCAAGGACAUACAGCUAGUGAGUGGUGGAGCUGGGAUUUGAACCCAGGCAGUCUGUUUCCAGAGAACUGCUUCAGGCCCUCCUGCCCCUAUCAAGAGGCCAGGGCAGGGCAGAGCCUACAGGUGGGACUCCAGGGGUCCAGAGCUGGAUGAUCUACACACAGGGGAUCACAUGAUGCAAGCAGUUUCCGUACAAUGCGUUCUAUUUAGGGUGGGUUGUCCUUCUCCAGAAGGAAGAAUUUCUCCCUGGAGACUGGCCAGAUGCAGCCUGGUGGGUGGCAGUGCAUACAUUCCCAUCUCCUCAGACCUACCUACCAAGAACAGCCGCGCUGAUGAGAGUCCUGUGUCACUGGCGAAAUUGCUUCCAAAUUGCCUUCUUCAUUAACUGUGCAAAUUUGCAUCUUAAUUAGGCUUAAUGGAAUACAAUUACCAGACCCCACGUUUCUCUCUCUGAUUUCAAGCAAGGAUGCCACAGAGACAGGCCAGAAGCCAAAAACGUGGGGCUGGAGGGAGCCUGGUUGGGCUCUCCCUGCAGGAAACCUCGCAUCUGGGAAAGGAGGGGCCAGGCGCUACCCAGCGGGGACUGCACCUGGUACAUCCAGGCUCCUGAACUGAGGAGACCAUGGGAUUUGGAAUCAAGCUUUGGGAAGCCUGCCUCUGCCUCUGACCAGUGGAGGACUGACCCUUUCUGAGCCUCUGUUUUCUCAUUUGUAAAUUGGAGAUGGUGAUAACAUUUACUAUGGGGUAGCUGCAGGGAUCAAAGGUGAUCGCGUGUGUGUUAGCACCUGGUAAAGCACCUAACACGUAGUUUGUUCUCUUUCUCCAUGCCCUCCCUUUUUGAGGCCUACAAGGUUGUGCAGAGCUGAUCCCGGCCUUCCCCUUCGGUGAUUCAGUGAGCGUCAGCUUAUUUCAUCCUCCCUUCCAUGCUCUGGCCAUACACACUUCUGAGUCCUGGGAAGGCUCUAAGCUCCUUCCUGUCUUGUGAGCUUUUCAAGUGCUAUUCCCUCUGCUUGGAACACCUGACCCCUGGUUAGUACCUACUCAUCCUUCCAAUCUCAGCUCAAACAGCACUGUCUCCAGGAAGCCUUCCCUAGCCCCAGAAUAAACUCUCCUAACAUCAUUUAUCUAUGGGAUUAUUUAAUAUGUGUCCCUCUCUCUCCCACAGACAGUAAGCUCCAUGAGUGCAGAGAACACUUCUAUUGUGUUCUCUGUUGCAUCUCCAGCUCCUGGUUCAGGGCUUAUCACAUAGUAGGUCCCAUUCAUGUCUGUUUAAUGGAUGGAUAUGAACAUCCCACUGAGCCUCAGCGAAUGUCAAGUGGGAGCCAUAAUCUCAUCCUUAUGGUGCUGUGAAAUCAUUAAAUGAUUUUUGGCACACAGUAGGUGUUUGACGAAUGAGAUACCUAUUCUCCCAUUCCUUUCAAUUAAGGAAAAGUUAGAAGCAGGCAUAUAGGUAGCUUAAAGGACAGCAUGUUCAUGGAUAGGAACCCCCAAUAUUGUCUAGAUGUCAGUUUUUACCAACUUGAUUUAUAGAUUUAAUGCAACCCCAAUCAAAAUUCCAGCAAGUUAUUUUGUGGAUAUAAGCAAACUGAUUAUGAAGUUUAUAUGGAGAGCAAAAGACCCAGAAUAACCAACACAAUAUUGAGGGAGAAGAGCAAAGUUGGCAGACUGACACUACCCAACUUUAAGACUUACUAUAAAGCUACAGUAAUUAAUAUGGUAUUGGUGAAACAAUAAACAGAGUAAUGGAACAGAAUCCAGAAUCCAGAGAUAAAUCGACAUAAAUACAGUCAAGUUGUUUUUGACAAAAGGGCAAAGUCAAUACAAUGGAGAAAAAUUCUUUUCAGCAAAUGGUGCUGGAACAACUGGACAUCCACAUGCAAAAAAGUACAUCUAGAUACAGACCUUACACCCUUCAGACAAAGUAACUCAAAAUGGACCAUAAGCCUAAGCAUAAAACCAAAAUUAUAAAACUCCUAGAAGAUAACACAGGAGAAAACCUGGAUGACCUUGGGUUGGCAAUGACUUUUUAGAUACAAUACCAAAGGCAUGCUCCUUGAAAGAAAUAAUUAAUUGAGAAGCCAGAAGGCAAAAUGGUACAGCCAUUUUGGAAGACAGUUUGGCCGUUUCUCACAAAACUAAAUAUACUCUUACCAUACCAUGCAGCAAUUAUACUCCUUGGUGUUUACCCAAGACUUGAAAACUUGUGUCUACACAAAAAUCUGCACGAGUGUUUAAAGCAGCUUUAUUUUUAUUUAUAAUUGCCAAAGCUUGGAGGCAAGUAAGAUGUCCUUUGGUAACAAGAGGAUUCAGAAUCUGAGAGAUACUGCUUAAAAGGAAAAUGUCCUGGAGGGAUGCCAAACUGCACUCUCAAAGGUUUCGGCUGGAUGUGUGAUAUUGAUGGGGAAACCCAUUUCAGUGUCUCUAAGAAGGGGGUAGUGCUCCUCUUUCCAGGAUGUCUCUGGGGAAUCUAGAGCACCCCAAAGUGUGGUAUGCAUAGAAACAUUGCUGCUUAAGGUCUGAAUAUUUGUUCCUCAUCAAUUCAUGUGUUGAAAUUCUAACCUCUCCUGAAUGGGAUUAGUGCUCUUACACGAGAGGCCUGACAGAGACUCCUCACCCUUCCCACCAUGCGAAGACACAGUGAGAAGGCUCAGUCUAUGAACCAAAAUGUUGACUGUCACCAUUUACUCAAUCUGCUGUCGCCUUGAGCUUGGACUUCCCAGCCUCCAGAACUGUGAGAAAUAAAUUUCUGUUGCUUAUAAGACAACCAGUUUAUGACAUUUCGUUAUAGCAGCCUGAAUGGACUAAGACACCCUUCCCACCAUGUGAAGACAGAGUGAGAAGGUUCGGUCUAUGAACCAAAAACUGACCCUCACCAGUCAUUGAAUCUGCUGGUGCCUUGAUCUUGGACUUCCCAGCCUCCAGAACUGUGAGAAAUAAAUUUCUGUCGUUUAUAAGCCACCUAGUUUAUGAUACUUUGUUAUAGCAGCCUGAAUGGACUGAGACACCCACCUUAAAAAGACAGUACCUCAAAACCAUAAGGCAGGAUAACUGCUAGCCUGAUAUUAAUAGUUUUUAAUUUACUGCUAGCUUCAUUUUGCCAACUGAGUCAGAUAUUUUUUAAAAGUUCUGUUUGCAAUUAUUUUAACUUAGGAGAGGAGAAAAAGAGCAGGCAUCAGCCUGCAUAUGGGAUAUUUCUGAAAGGAUUUUGCUAUGAUUAGCUUGCCCUCAGGGAGAGUAAAAUGUGAGUUAUACAACCAUGCUUAUAUUUAGAUGUUGUUGAUGUUCUGGCUUAUAAUAUAUGAUGAGUUAGAAAUAAUUUUGUACUGAUCAGCCCAACCAGAAAAUAAACAUGCUUUAACUUGUAUUUAUUACUAAACUUGGUCUCCUAAAACAUGAUAAAGCAGUUGAGUCUAUAAUGACUGAGCCAUAGCUUCUCUGACUGACUCUAAGAGGGAAUGACGUUAAUAAGAGAUUAGCCCAUACCUCUAAUAGCCCUGGGAGAGAUGAACCCAAGACGGCAAGGCCCAGCUCUGAUGGAUGAAGGGACAGAGAACUAUAAGAAGACUGGGUUCCAUCUAGGAUGGGUGGCCUGUUGAGUGCCCAUCUUAUCUGCUUAGAUGAUGAUACUUGGAGACCUGACUCAAUUGUUGUGAAUGGUCUUUGUAAAAUUUUAUUUUAGAGACAGGGUCUUGCUAUGUUGCCCAGGCUGGUCUCAAACACCUGGGCUCAAGUGAUCCUCCUGCCUCAGCCUCCUGAGUAGCUGGAACUGCAAGUGAUUACUCUUAUUGAACAAACAAACAAAAACAAGUGCCUGUGACCUAAUAGAGAUGCAUGCAUAUGUUCACCAAAAGAUCUAGAAUGUCCACAACAGCCCUAUUUAUCAUCACCCCAAAUGGGGCACCCUGCACCUACCUCAACAGUAGAUGCAUACAUUUCUGUGUAUUUACACUGUGGAAUAUGACACAGCAAUGACAAUGAAUGAACUACAGCUAUACACAACAACAUGGAUGGCUAUCACAAACAUAAGGUAGAGCUAAAAGCGAAAAAAACCAGCAUAAAAGUGGGCAAAAGCCAUCUAUGUUGUUAAAAAUCAGGAUAGUGGCUGCCCUGGAAGGGGGCAUGAGGAGGCUUCAAGGUGCUUGUCAUGUUCUCUUUCUUCACU